GAAUCACUCACUCUGGGGGAAGGAAGCCAGUUUCCACACCAUGAGGAUAUUCAAGUGAGCUGUGGAGAAGCCCAGGAGGCUUACAGCUGCAGGCUUCUUUGGCCUCCCAUGGCAGCGGCGCAGCCGAAUGGAUGGGGCGUGUCUCUGGAAUGUGUGUCCUUGCAUAGCGUUUAUAUCAGAAAGAGCUCCUGAGAAGAUCCAAAAAUGUUUUUAUCUCUUACUUCCCUGACAGGUUGAAGCCCCACCCCAAUGUGGCUAUUUGGAGAUGAGGCCUUUGGGAGAUAAUUGGGGUUGGAUGAGGUCAUGAAGGUGGAACCCUCGUGAUGGGAUAAUGGCUUGAUAAGAAGAGGAAGAGGGAGAGGUCGCUGUCCCUUUCCGCCAUGUAAGCACACAGCAGGAAAGCGACUGUCUACAAGCCAGGAAGAGGGCCCUUAUCAGGAACCAAAUCGGCCACCACUGUGAUCUGGGACUUUGCAGCCUUCAGAACUAUGGAAAUAAAUGCCUGUUGCUUAACCCA
rnacentral:lncRNA from 10 species